rnacentral:rRNA from 1 species
AGCAAUACUUAGUGGCAGACGGGUGAGUAACAUGUGCCUAUCUACCCUUUGGCCUGGAAUAACACGAGGAAACUUGUGCUAAUACCGGAUAAGUCUUUACGGAGAAAGCUUUAUGCACCAUUGGAUGAGCCCGCACUUGAUUAGUUUGUUGGUAGGGUAAUGGCCUACCAAGACUAUGAUCAAUAGCUGAUUUGAGAGGAUGAUCAGCCACAUUGGGACUGAGACACGGCCCAAACUCCUACGGGAGGCAGCAGUGGGGAAUCUUGCACAAUGGAGGAAACUCUGAUGCAGCGAUGCCGCGUGAGUGAAGAAGGCCUUUGGGUUGUAAAGCUCUUUCGUCGGGGAAGAAAAUGACUGUACCCGAAUAAGAAGGUCCGGCUAACUUCGUGCCAGCAGCCGCGGUAAUACGAAGGGACCUAGCGUAGUUCGGAAUUACUGGGCUUAAAGAGUUCGUAGGUGGUUGAAAAAGUUGGUGGUGAAAUCCCAGAGCUUAACUCUGGAACUGCCAUCAAAACUUUUCAGCUAGAGUAUGAUAGAGGAAAGCAGAAUUUCUAGUGUAGAGGUGAAAUUCGUAGAUAUUAGAAAGAAUACCAACUGCGAAGGCAGCUUUCUGGAUCAUUACUGACACUGAGGAACGAAAGCAUGGGUAGCGAAGAGGAUUAGAUACCCUCGUAGUCCAUGCCGUAAACGAUGUGUGUUAGACGUUGGAAAUUUAUUUUCAGUGUCGCAGGGAAACCGAUAAACACACCGCCUGGGGAGUACGACCCGCAAGUUAAAACUCAAAUGAAUUGACGGGGACCCGCACAAGUAGUGGAG